rnacentral:rRNA from 1 species
GAUGAACGCUGGCGGCGUGCCUAAUACAUGCAAGUCGAGCGAACAGACGAGGAGCUUGCUCCUCUGACGUUAGCGGCGGACGGGUGAGUAACACGUGGAUAACCUACCUAUAAGACUGGGAUAACUUCGGGAAACCGGAUCUAAUACCGGAUAAUAUAUUGAACCGCGUGGUUCAAUAGUGAAAGCCGGUUUUGCUGUCACUUAUAGAUGGAUCCGCGCCGCAUUAGCUAGUUGGUAAGGUAACGGCUUACCAAGGCAACGAUGCGUAGCCGACCUGAGAGGGUGAUCGGCCACACUGGAACUGAGACACGGUCCAGACUCCUACGGGAGGCAGCAGUAGGGAAUCUUCCGCAAUGGGCGAAAGCCUGACGGAGCAACGCCGCGUGAGUGAUGAAGGUCUUCGGAUCGUAAAACUCUGUUAUUAGGGAAGAACAAAUGUGUAAGUAACUAUGCACGUCUUGACGGUACCUAAUCAGAAAGCCACGGCUAACUACGUG